AUCAAGGCAGAGACCAUUCGAUGUUAUUGCUUAGGUCUUAUUUUUUGAUCUAGGGCCUCUGACUGACCUAGAACUCCCUAUGUCGGCAAGGCUAGCAGCCCACUGAGCCCCAGGGAUCCACUGGUCUCUACCCCUCGGCACUGAGAAUUCAGAACAGCACCGCCAUGCCCAGAAUUUUCAAAAAUUUGUAUACUAGGGAUCAAACUCGGGUCCUUGUGCUUGUGAGGCAAGCAUUUUACAGACUGCUCCUUGUAUGUUCUAUUUUGCAGGAUUAAUCAGACUUCUCAAGAAAUGUGCAGUUUUAUCACUUUGAGUUCAGUGCCCAGCUGAAUUUCAUCACUAGCAACUCGAAGACCCACACAUUCAAAGAUUCUUCCAGAGCUCAGGCGCCUUCUCAAAUGAAUCGUGAGGUUUCCUCCCUGAAGGGUGUGGCAAUCUGCACUUCUAAAUCUUUAUAAUGUACUCCUUAAGCCACACAAUGUGGUCUUCUGAAGCAAGAAACUCCAGACUGAGAUAAACUCCCAGCGAAGACAGACAGUAGAGCACAUGCUCGCCCAUGGAAGACUGAAGGAGGUCUUCUGAGCAGAGGAGAUGCAGGGCCUCUGAGGACCCAGUGAGACAUCAGGAAGCAUGAGCCCCCUCACUGGGGACCAACUUCAACUAUUGCCAAAAGAACCAGAGCCCAUUGUUAACUUGGACAAGUUCCCCCGUUGUCCUUGAAUUGAAUUAUUGUCCUCUGCAACCAGGAAGCUAAUUAUUGGUCAAAUUGUGUAUUCCCAGAGCUGAAGCCAUUCUGGUAAUUCUCCAAGGGGAAGUGGGGGUGGGGUCAGAACAGAACCUUUAGAAAAAUGCAAAUGUCCUCGGUGGAAUUUCUGGGGACCCCUGGUAUUUAGGGUCAGGGUGUCAGCAUGCCCUUUGAACUGGAUGCUAUCCUUUUCUUUCCUGGCUUCCUGUUCCUGGAAGCCUGCUCUCUCUGAAUUGUUUUGAUUAAGCCCCGUUUGGAGGACUAGAUUCCCUUGAAGCAUCCUCCACCAUAUUUGAUGAUAAAUCUCAUUCAAUUUCCCGUG